UCCGGUUUGUCACCGGCAGUCUCCUUAGAGUGCCCAACUAAAUGCUGGCAACUAAGGACAAGGGUUGCGCUCGUUGCGGGACUUAACCCAACAUUUCACAACACGAGCUGACGACAGCCAUGCACCACCUGUGCACCACCCUCGAAGGCGGCCCCGUUUCGGGGGAUUGCAGGUGCAUGUCAAGCCCUGGUAAGGUUCUUCGCGUUGCAUCGAAUUAAGCCAUAUGCUCCACCGCUUGUGCGGGCCCCCGCCAAUUCCUUUGAGUUUCAACCUUGCGGCCGUAGUCCCCAGGCGGUUCACUUAAUGCGUUAGCUGCGGCACCGAGGGAAACCCCCCGACACCUAGUGAACAUAGUUUACGGCGUGGACUAC
rnacentral:misc_RNA from 1 species